rnacentral:rRNA from 1 species
AUGAAUAAAAUCAUUUGGAAGGUUUGGGCUCCUCCAAAAAUCAAGUUCUUUGCUUGGCUAGCAAUUCAAAAUCGUGUUUGGACCGCCGACCGCUUGGCCAAGCGAGGUUGGGACAAUUGCGGACUUUGCCCUUUAUGCAAGAGGGAGCAAGAAUCUGUGGCUCACCUCUUCUACAAGUGCCGAUACACGUUGAGGCUCUGGGAAAUGCUGAAAGUAUGGCUACGAUUAGAUACCAUGAAUAUUACUACUUGGCCAGGGGAACGAUCGAUCAAGGAUUGGUGGACAAGGAUGUCUAGCGCAACGAGGGUUAGGAAAGCUAUGGCCUCCCUCACAAUGCUUGUUAGCUGGACUAUAUGA